GAGUAACGCGUGGGAUUAUCUACCUACUGGUACGGGACAACAGUUGGAAACGACUGCUAAUACCGUAUACGCUGGUAACGGGAAAGGGGGCCUCUUCUUGAAAGCUCUCGCCAGUAGAUGAGUCCGCGUUUCAUUAGCUAGACGGUGGGGUAACGGCCUACCGUGGCAACGAUGAAUAGCAGGCCUGAGAGGGUGGCCUGCCACACUGGGACUGGAACACGGCCCAGACUCCUACGGGAGGCAGAAUCGGGGAAUAUUGCGCAAUGGACGAAAGUCUGACGCGGCGACGCCGCGGGGAGGAUGAAGGUUUUCGGAUCGUAAACUCCUGUCAAGAGGGAAGAAACCUAUUAUGAAUAAUACUCAUGGUAAUUGACGGGACCUCUAGAGGAAGCACCGGCUAAUUCAGUGCCAGCAGCCGCGGAAAUACUGAAGGUGCUAGCGUUAAUCGGAAUCACUGGGCGUAAAGCGCUCGUAUGUGGCUUUGAAAGUCAGGUGUGAAAGUCCACGGCUCAACCGUGGAAUUGCACUUGAUACUGCAUCGCUAGAGUAUAGGAGAGGGAAGUGGAAUUUCUGGUGUAGGAGUGAAAUCCGUAGAGAUCAAAGGAACACCCGUGGCUGAAGGGACUUCCUGGACUAUUACUGACACUGAGGAGCGAAAGCGUGGGAGCAAACAGGAUUAGAUACCCUGCAGUCCACGACGUAAACGAUGGUACUAGGUG
rnacentral:rRNA from 2 species